ACAGCAGAGAAAGAAGCUUGUCUUUUCCAUCCUCAGCAGUCCAGCUCUUCUCACAGUCCUGUGAAUAAGAGAAGCCAGCAGUCAGAAAUGUGUUUCAGGGUGACAGAAGUUUUUGUUACAGGAUCUCAGCAGGCAGGGAAGAAUGAGACCUCCCACAUGACUUGGAAACGGAAUUUACGCACACCUGCGCACAGCUCUGCCUGAAAAACAAGGACACUGAGCACUGGAUGAAGAAUAGCAGGAACAUGAGAGGCUCUCCUGGGAAUGCAUCGAAGGAGCGCUGGUGGAGGCUCUCUAGUUAAUCACUUUGUCAAAAGGAGUACUUUUUCCAGUGUGCAACAUUAUUCACUUAACUUUUCAUUAGGCCUUUUCAUGUGUAAUUGCUGUAAGGAGCAGUAAGUGAUGUUUCAUGCCACAAAAGGAUAGCUAUUCAUUGUAUUUGGGCUUCCUCCAGAUGAAAGUCUCGGUCUCAGCCUGUACCAGCUGUUCAUCUGGCUCAGCGUCACCUCCUUAACCACAGGCAGCACUUCUGUUGCAUAAUACAAAGGAACUUGGUUUCUUUUUUCCACCUUUGCUGCCUCAGUCCUCACAAUGAACUGAAGAACUACGUUUUUGUUUGACCCCACAGCUAAGGACAGCUUUAAUGACAAGAUGCAAACGAGAGCCUCGCGGUGAGACAAUCUGUCUUUUGGACACCAGCUUGUCAUCAGAAAUCUCACCAUCACUUCUUCACCUGCUCAUGUGGUACCCAGCUGUGCCUUGCUGGCCCUGCUUUUGCCUGGAGUGUGAGAUUUGCUGU